GACGAACGCUGGCGGCGCGCCUAACACAUGCAAGUCGAACGAGCGAGAGAGAGCUUGCUUUCUCGAGCGAGUGGCGAACGGGUGAGUAACGCGUGAGGAACCUGCCUCAAAGAGGGGGACAACAGUUGGAAACGACUGCUAAUACCGCAUAAGCCCACGGCUCGGCAUCGAGCAGAGGGAAAAGGAGCAAUCCGCUUUGAGAUGGCCUCGCGUCCGAUUAGCUAGUUGGUGAGGUAACGGCCCACCAAGGCAACGAUCGGUAGCCGGACUGAGAGGUUGAACGGCCACAUUGGGACUGAGACACGGCCCAGACUCCUACGGGAGGCAGCAGUGGGGAAUAUUGCACAAUGGGGGAAACCCUGAUGCAGCGACGCCGCGUGGAGGAAGAAGGUCUUCGGAUUGUAAACUCCUGUUGUUGAGGAAGAUAAUGACGGUACUCAACAAGGAAGUGACGGCUAACUACGUGCCAGCAGCCGCGGUAAAACGUAGGUCACAAGCGUUGUCCGGAAUUACUGGGUGUAAAGGGAGCGCAGGCGGGAAGACAAGUUGGAAGUGAAAUCUAUGGGCUCAACCCAUAAACUGCUUUCAAAACUGUUUUUCUUGAGUAGUGCAGAGGUAGGCGGAAUUCCCGGUGUAGCGGUGGAAUGCGUAGAUAUCGGGAGGAACACCAGUGGCGAAGGCGGCCUACUGGGCACCAACUGACGCUGAGGCUCGAAAGUGUGGGUAGCAAACAGGAUUAGAUACCCUGGUAGUCCACACCGUAAACGAUGAUUACUAGGUGUUGGAGGAUUGACCCCUUCAGUGCCGCAGUUAACACAAUAAGUAAUCCACCUGGGGAGUACGACCGCAAGGUUGAAACUCAAAGGAAUUGACGGGGGCCCGCACAAGCAGUGGAGUAUGUGGUUUAAUUCGACGCAACGCGAAGAACCUUACCAAGUCUUGACAUCCUGCGACGCACAUAGAAAUAUGUGUUUCCUUCGGGACGCAGAGACAGGUGGUGCAUGGUUGUCGUCAGCUCGUGUCGUGAGAUGUUGGGUUAAGUCCCGCAACGAGCGCAACCCUUACUGUCAGUUACUACGCAAGAGGACUCUGGCAGGACUGCCGUUGACAAAACGGAGGAAGGUGGGGAGGACGUCAAAUCAUCAUGCCCUUUAUGACUUGGGCUACACACGUACUACAAUGGCGUUAAACAAAGAGAAGCAAGACCGCGAGGUGGAGCAAAACUCAGAAACAACGUCCCAGUUCGGACUGCAGGCUGCAACUCGCCUGCACGAAGUCGGAAUUGCUAGUAAUCGUGGAUCAGCAUGCCACGGUGAAUACGUUCCCGGGCCUUGUAC
rnacentral:rRNA from 1 species